rnacentral:snoRNA from 1 species
ACGACCUUACUUGAACAGGAUCUGUUCUAUAGGCUCGUACCACUGUAUUCUUGAGUUCUAAGGAGACAGGAAAACAAGUCUGGUUGAUUAGGCAUUCCUAUUGGGCUAGAGCGUGAUUAACAGUUCCCAUAGCCCUCGGGUCAUGGUGCCGUGGAUGAUCGUUCUCAGCUCCAACAAUAGUUGCCGGGGUGGUCUGAUGGCUGUCUGACAGACU